GUAAGAUUGUGUUAAAUUCUAUGAAGAAUCUUGGAAAUUGAUCUCAGAAAGCUUCUGUCCUGACUGCUGACGCUCGAAAAAAUUCCCCUGUAGUUGUAUAGCAUUGAAGCAUCGGUCAGGUUUUUUUUCUUUAUGGAGUACUUUUGAAGCAUUGUGCCCAGAGACAUCAAGAUCACACUCACAAGGACUUGGAUGGCGAGCCCCAGCCCAGAGGACCGAGUGAACCAGUAGAUGGUGACCUACCAGCCGUGAAAUAUUGAAAAAAAAAAAAUUUACGAACACAUUGCAAAGACUAAACAAACUUUGAAAGAACAUUUGACAGAGACAUCAAAAAGACUGGGUUAUUUCUUUUAUUUUAAUUUUUUUUAAAAAGCGCACAGUUUUUGUUUAUUUGUACAA